UGGGGGAUAUUGCACAAUGGAGGAAACUCUGAUGCAGCAACGCCGCGUGAGGGAAGAAGGUCUUCGGAUUGUAAACCUCAGUAGUCAGGGACGAAAGAAAUGACGGUACCUGAAGAGUAAGCUCCGGCUAACUACGUGCCAGCAGCCGCGGUAAUACGUAGGGAGCGAGCGUUGUCCGGAUUUACUGGGUGUAAAGGGUGCGUAGGCGGGAUAGCAAGUCAGACGUGAAAUACCGAGGCUUAACUUCGGGGCUGCGUUUGAAACUGGUACUCUUGAGUGAAGUAGAGGCAGGCGGAAUUACUAGUGUAGCGGUGAAAUGCGUAGAUAUUAGGAGGAACACCAGUGGCGAAGGCGGCCUGCUGGGCUUUAACUGACGCUGAGGCACGAAAGCAUGGGGAGCAAACA
rnacentral:rRNA from 1 species